rnacentral:lncRNA from 1 species
GACCUGAACAGAAGAUGCAACUUCAGGCGCAGACCUCUGGGAGCCCUGAGAUGGUCCAGAUUCUGUUUAAAGGGUUUGUCUUAAAGAGUUAGAGAGAUAAUACCGUUAUCUGCAUUAGAGACCCUUGUGAGGAUUAAAUACAAACAUCCAUGUACAAUUUCUUAGCACAGGAACUGGCACAGAGAAACUGAAUCUGCUCUUCCCUCUGGACCAGAAUCUGAUCUCAAGUUCUCUAAGACCAUCAACCCGGGGCAGGAGCCCAGUAGCUCCAGCAUCUGCGUGACCAGAAAUGGGAUGAUGUGGCUCCUUGCUGGAGAUGUUUCAGCACAUUGAUUGCAAAACCCAGUGAGUUUCUCUCAGGUUUUGUUUCAGCUGCCAAGAGCCCAGGGCCUCAAGCCUUGUGAGCAGCUCCAGGAAUCUCAGGGAAUCGAGAAGAGACCCAGGACACUGGCAUUGGCAAAAUGUUGCUGGUGUGGCCGCGUGUAGCACUGAAGUGGCCUGGAGGGUGCGGCCCAUUCGGAAGAGCUGUGGCUGGAAAGAGUUUGUACAUAAGGGACAGCAAGCAAAUGCACAUGAAGCCAGUGACUAUGAAGUCGGUCAGAUUGAAUUGACUCAGUUUUUCUCAAGUCUUCAAGCGUGAAGCAUUGCAAACCUUCGAGUGUACACUGGGGAAAGAAAGGAAGGGAAAAAAGGACUCCACGGCAAAACCUAAGGAAAAGCCUGUGAAAAGAAAACGGCAAGAUAGAGCAACACGAUUUCAAAUCUUAAUCUCCUGAAAUGGUGCUUCUAAAGCUGCACUUUCCACAUUUCUAAGUGAGACUCUUCAAAACUCUGUGUCAAAUCAUGUUAUAACCUUGCUUCUUAUCUGUCUGCGAUGGCUUUCAAGGGCCAGUAAUUCCCCACAUGCGGCAGAAAAGUUCACAGUAGAGAUUUGUGCACUUGGCUAAGCUUCCCGCCUUGCUUUUUGUGGAGUGCUGGUGAAGGAGAGAGAUUUCUUUUCCCUUUCAGAACUAAUGCAACUGCCAAGGACACAGGCUAGAAGCAAACCAAAUCACUCACUUGGACACAUAAUCUGCAGGACAACAACUUAAUAUUAGACUCUCUGCUUUUGUCCAGUAAAACACAUGGCCUGGUAGAAUGCCCCUGCAAUUUUUUAAAUUAAAAACUGGCAGACAAGACCACAAGUACAGGGGAGACUUUUUUGCUGCCUUCUUGCUAGACACCCUCCCUUGCCCCAUCACCAGAGAUGACCUGGAGUCUUGGGCGCUGGCUGCUGGGGUGACAGUGGUGCAGGGGGCUGAGGAAAGAAGAGUCAUGGAAAUCUUAAUAAACUGCAGAGAGAGGGUGUCAUCUGCCAUAGGAAGGGUGGAGGCCACCUCACCGUCUCUUUCUCUACCUGCCUACUGGCCCUUGGACUGGCCUGAGGGUUUGCACAGGAAGAGGCAGGCGUGAAGAGCUCUGAACAGCAUUCCCUGCAUCAGGGGCCAUAAAUGCAAGUGUCAGCCAGGGUCUGGCAGGUAACAUCAGCAAGUAAAAUGGGUGAGGUCUAAGAAAAGAAAAGGAAGGAAGACAUUAUCUACUAUGUUAUUUGUUUUUGUUUUUUAAUAAAGAUAGUUUUAUUUCUUUACAAAAAAAAUUAAGAUGGCCAAGGCAGGUGGAUCACUUGAGGUCAGAAGUUUGAGACCAGCCUGAGCAAUAUGAUGAAGCCCCAUCUCUACUAAAAAUGCAAAAAUUAGCCGGGCGUGGUGGUGGGCACCUGUAAUCCCAGCUACUCGGGAGGCUGAAGCAGGAGAAUUGCUUGAACCCAGGAGGCAGAGGUUGCAAUGGGCCAAGAUUGCACCACUGCACUCCAGCCUGGGAGACAGAGAGAGACUCUACUUCAAAAAAUAAUAAUAAAAAAAAUUAAAAUAAAGAUGACAUUCUGAAACAAAAACAAAAUUAAUUCCUCUUGGCAAGCUGAUACACUUUCUUGUAUUAGGCACGAGAUCUAUUGUUCCCAUUUUCCCUUGACUUCCAAGAGGCUCAAAGCUAUAUUUUGUGCUUCCCUUUGAUUUUUUUUGGACCCAUCUUUCUCUCAUUCUCACCUGUCUCCUCUCCCAAUGUGCACACACAUUUUAUACACAUACAUCAUAUACACACAUAUAUAUGCCACAUACCCAUAUACGAGCAUCAUAGGCUCUUCUAUUUUUACCUCUGGCAUUUUUCCCUUUAUUGUAAGUUUUAUCACAAAUCCUUAUGACAGUAUGCAGUGUGAAGUAAUAAAUUAAUAAAACGAGUGCUUUCUACAUUCAGGAGGCUGAUGUUUCCAAUUCUUUAAUCAGACUACCACACCAUUAGCU